GCCUUCAGGGUGUAAUGCUUAGCACGCUCGACUCGUAUUCGAGAGGUCCGUGGUUCGAGUCCCGGCGAGAGCA
rnacentral:tRNA from 1 species